AGGAUGUCAGCCGCGACGCGGACUGACGCGAGCGUAGCGAGGUGUCUGUAUCAGUUGUUUCGCCAGAAGCAACGCUGAGUAGCUAUGUUCGGCCGGGAUAACCGCUGAAAGCAUAUAAGUGGGAAACCCUUCUGAAGAUAAGAUCUCCUGGGAGCAAUCCCCUAAAGACCCCAAGAAGAUGACUUGGUUGAUAGGUCACAGAUGUAAGUGUGGUAACACAUUCAGUCGAGUGAUACUAAUCGGUCGU
rnacentral:ncRNA from 1 species